GUUCACUGCCGAAUAAGCAGCUUAGAAA
rnacentral:other from 1 species